CCCUUAGAUGUUCUGGGCCGCACGCGCGCUACACUGAUUCAUGCACUAAGUAUAUAACCUUGGUAGAAAUGCUUGGGUAAUCUUUGAAACUGAAUCGUGCUGGGGAUUGGAGCUUGUAAUUAUUCUCCAUGAACGAGGAAUUCCUAGUAGACGCGAGUCAUAAGCUCGCAUCGAUUAAGUCCCUGCCCUUUGUACACACCGCCCGUCGCUACUACCGAUUGAACGUUUUAGUGAGGCAUUUGGACCGACGCAUCUCAGUUUAACCGCUGGUUUGUGUUGGAAAGACUUCCAAACUUGAGCGUUUAGAGGAAGUAAAAGUCGUAACA
rnacentral:rRNA from 1 species